UCCAAGGCUCCAAUCUCUCUGCAUCUCUCUGCAUGGCGUCUUGUCACUUAAGAGAGUCAACAGCCCCUCCCAGUUUGAGAUCAGCAGCAGCCUUGAACUGGGACAUUUAACUGCAGCAUCCCAAUCUUUGAAAAAUCCCCACCUUCUCCUCCAGCCGAGCUUCCAGCUGUCCCUCACUUGGUCAGUUCCUACGAGGUGUCCCACAACAACACAGCGAGGCCCACAAGACCCUGCUGGCAGCCUGGCUGCCCUGAUUCAGACACAUUUUCCCUUCUUCCCACAGUUCUGCAGCUUGAACAAUGGGAAGGGGCCCUUGUUUGGUCAGCAGUGAAGUGUCAGACUGCACCUUGCUGGCUCAGUGCCCUUCCCAGGCUUCAGGAUUCAGGUGGGGAGGACAACUCAGCACAGGCAGGAGGAGAAAAGUCGAGCUGCACCCCUGGGGCACCCUUUGUGUAUUUGCAGAUUUCCUUUGUUCAGGGGCCUACAUGCUGUCCUUGUCACCUCAGGGGUGCUGCCAGCAUGGAGGAGAAAAGGCAGGAGGAGAAAAGUCGAGCUGCACCCCUGGGGCACCCUUUGUGUAUUUGCAGAUUUCCUUUGUUCAGGGGCCUACAUGCUGUCCUUGUCACCUCAGGGGUGCUGCCAGCAUGGAGGCCUGGCCUUGUCAUUGUGCAGAUGAAAGAACUGCUGCCAAAACAAAAGGCAGAGAGAAUUCCUUCCUGGGUUUGGAGCCCCCUGGACAGGAUCCAUUCUACUGAGCAAGCAAGGCUGAACAGUCCCACAGCCCUAAACACAGCUGCAAAGUGUCCUUGUGCCCAUCACCCUCGAUCCAGCAGGGCUGCAGAGAGGACAAACUCUGACCUUUAAACCAAAAGGGACAAAACCUUGUACAGGGCCUGGCCUGGAAGGCCUGGAUGUGAUGGCCGCUCCCAGGGAGAGAGACCAGAGGCCCUGUGAGUAGAGACCAGGACUGUUCCCAGGAAACCAUGGCAAGGUGUCAGGAGCAGGCAUUAGAGACAGGGCCAGGGAGAUGUGAUGCAGGUGGCUGAGGGAGAGCAUCAUGGAGAUGUAGAAAUUGAAACUAGGAAACAGGAUUUCCUUUAUCUCUGACAACAUGAGCCUGCACGGAUGGAAGGCCUGCUGUGUCAUCACAGUGUUAGAAAUGAACUUUUAGAUACAAAUAAAUGGACACACAAAGUAGUGGAGGCAAAAGAAAUCUGUUUAUUAGUAACAAUUCACCUGAGCUGCAGGUAUGCCCUCUUUCCCCCAAGAGCCAAACACACACACCCUCCAAAACAAGCACUAUAUUUUAUCCCCUUUCCUGGCCAGGGGCAAUCCCUGUCCCCUUUCCCAUUGCCUGGGUACUUGAGAAUUUCUAUUCUCUCCUCACCGCCUACUUUUCUGUCCGCAUUCCUCUGAUCCUACUUCCUUUUUGGUCAGGUCUUUAACCUGGCUGCUUUCCCAGCUCACAGCAGCACCCAACAAAUUAACUGGAGCAAAUCCAAACCAGAAAUAACAACACACAGAACCAACUUUCAUUGUUUUACCUAAUAACCUUUUGGGUUCAGCAAAAUAUUACCUCAUCUCUGACAACAGGGUAGAGGACUCUGAUGUCACCAACCUCUGGAUGAUGACAUCAGGCAUUGCUGGAUUGUGACCUCACCUUCUCUCCCUGCUUAUCUUGGGGUUCCAAGGAGUUUCAAUGCCUUUUGUGCUGUCACAGGGGUUGGAGGCUGGUGUCAGAGAGCAGUGGGCUGUGACAUCACAGAGGGAUGCAUUGUGACAUUGUGCCCCUCAAUUCCAAGGAAUACUUUUGAAAACUACUUCCCAAAGUGAAUCUUUCUCCAAGCAGAUGGACUGGCAAAACCCAUAAUCUGUGAGCAGAAGACAGGAAUAUUUUUGCCUGUUGGAAAAAUGCCAUAGCAAUGUGCUCUUGACUAGGCGCACUCUUGUCCUUACCAUAAAGAAAAGACACUGAACAAAAUGAAA